rnacentral:rRNA from 1 species
CACACGACUCUCGGCAACGGAUAUCUCGGCUCUCGCAUCGAUGAAAAACGUAGCGAAAUGCGAUACCUGGUGUGAAUUGCAGAAUCCCGCGAACCAUCGAGUCUUUGAACGCAAGUUGCGCCCGAGGCCCUCGGGCCGAGGGCACGCCUGCCUGGGCGUCACGC